AGUUAAAUAUGCGCCAUAGGUGUUGGCAUGCUUCAUGAUAAGCAUGGCAGCUUAAAAGGGAAGCCGGUUCAAGUCCGGCGCGGUCCCGCCACUGUAAUCCACUUAGCAAAGGUGGAAAGUCAGAAUACCUGCCCAUGGAGCCCUAUACGA
rnacentral:ncRNA from 1 species